rnacentral:rRNA from 1 species
CAGUCGCCGCGGUAAUACAGAGGGUGCGAGCGUUAAUCGGAUUUACUGGGCGUAAAGCGUGCGUAAGCGGCUUCUUAAGUCGGAUGUGAAAUCCCUGAGCUUAACUUAGGAAUUGCAUUCGAUACUGGGAAGCUAGAGUAUGGGAGAGGAUGGUAGAAUUCCAGGUGUAGCGGUGAAAUGCGUAGAGAUCUGGAGGAAUACCGAUGGCGAAGGCAGCCAUCUGGCCUAAUACUGACGCUGAGGUACGAAAGCAUGGGGAGCAAACAGGAUUAGAUACCCGGGUAGUCCCUGUCUCUUAUAC